rnacentral:rRNA from 1 species
UACAGAGGGUGCAAGCGUUGUUCGGAAUUAUUGGGCGUAAAGCGCGUGUAGGCGGCUUUGCAAGUCGGGUGUGAAAUCCCUCAGCUCAACUGAGGAAGUGCGCCCGAAACUGCAGAGCUUGAGUACCGGAGAGGAUGGUGGAAUUCCCCAAGUAGAGGUGAAAUUCGUAGAUAUGGGGAGGAACACCGGUGGCGAAGGCGGCAUCCUGGACCAAUAUUGACGCUGAGGAGCGAAAGCCAGGGGAGCAAACGGG